rnacentral:rRNA from 1 species
AUGGAGUUGGGUACGAGGCGCCGCCGGCGUUCCUCCGAGCCAGGCCCUGCCGGCGGACCGGACUACCUCAGCGCCCUCCCCGAGGAUCUUCUCCUCCUGGUCCUCGCCCGCCUCGGCUGCGCCGCCGCUGCCGCGCGCACCGGCCUCCUCUCCCGCCGGUGGCGCGGCCUCUGGGCCCACCUCCGCGACCUCGCCUUCCGAAGCAUCGCAUUCCCGUCGCUCAAGGCGGCGCUCAACCGCGUCGCCCUCCCCCCUCCGGCGGUCUCCCUCCUCGAGAUCCGCGUCUCCCAUGAACACCUGCCCAUCUCCGGCGCCGGCGCCGUCACAUCGGUGCUGCGCGCCGCCGCACUGCUCGCGCCGGAGAAGCUCGUCUUCGCCCUCCCGUGGGACCCAGAUCCGACUUCCACAGAGGUCGACCUGCCGUGCUUCCACCGCGCCACCUCGAUCGUGCUGGAGUGGAUCCCCUUCGUCCUCCGCACACCGGCCGCCGGGGCGGAGUUCCCCGCGCUCCAGACGCUGACCCUCACGGGCUGCCAAGUGGACGACCUCGGCGCCUUGCUCUCCCUCUGCCCACACCUGCGCGUGCUCAGGCUCAAGGGCCUCAUUUGGCUCGGCGACGACGACUGGACAGUCCACUCAACGUCACUGCAGGGGCUUGUCAUGAACAGCGAGAAUUUGUGGGCACGGCCGGUCGACAUCGUUGCCCCCAUGCUCAAGCAACUGACGCUGUUCUUGCACGCCUACAAUCAAGUGACCGUCUCCAUCUUGGCACCAAUGCUGGAGAAUGUAUCGUGGCAAUGCCUCUACGGCACGGGAAUUAUUGGGUUUGGUCUUUGGACCCUGGAGAAGCUGAGCCUACAUACCGCAGAGAAACAGGGACAGACCUCUUUUCUGCAGAUUCAUGCCUGCAAGAGCUGGUUUACCUUUUCCGAUGAAGAGGCCAACUUUGCACAGGAGAUAGAGAAGCAUAUGAUUGUCGACUUCUCUGCUUUGGAGCUACAUUUGUCAGCAAUGGGCCAUGUUUUUGGAGCAUUUGUGUCGCAUCUUCUUGGGCUGAAUCGGAUUCGUAACGCUAUACGGAGGCUUAAGGUCAACCUUCUGAGAUUAGAGGAAGAAGAAAUAUGCCCUGCAAAUUGUCCUUGUGAGUCUACGAACUGGAGGACCCAAAUUAUCUCCUUGACUGCUCUUGAAGAAGUAGAAAUAGAUGGCUUCAGAGGAGAUGCACAUGAGCUUCAUUUCUUGAAACUAAUAUUCAGCUGUGCACCAAUGCUUAAGAGAAUGAUUGUGAGGCUGUCAGAUGAGGUCUCGACAAGUAAUGAUAGAUGCACGGAAAUAUAUGACAUCUUCAGGGGGCAUUCUUCUGUGAAAUGCAAUGUUUAUCUCAGCUCUGGGUUAGUGCAUCGCAGCCAAGGUUGCCAGUUGACAUGA